rnacentral:lncRNA from 1 species
GGAAGGGACAAAAUGAGUAAAAACCCUUAUUGAGACUUUGGAUUCGGGGGUUGGUUACGCGAAGGGAAGGUGCUAGCACCCUAAGCGUCUACGGUAUUCCGUAGGAACCUCUUACCUAAUUUAUCUUGUGCUACAUUCAUUGCUUAUUUGAAAAUUAUUACCUAAAAAUCUAAGUAAAAGAAUGGAGGGAGAAGAAGUAUGUUUUUGGUUU